AGUUUAACGGCCGCGGUAUUCUGACCGUGCAAAGGUAGCAUAAUCACUUGUUCUCCAAAUAAGGACUUGUAUGAAUGGCCACACGAGGGUUUUACUGUCUCUUACUUCCAAUCAGUGAAAUUGACCUUCCCGUGAAGAGGCGGGAAUAAAAAAAUAAGACGAGAAGACCCUAUGGAGCUUUAAUUAACUAUUCCAAAAGUUAAACAAUUCAACCACAAAGGGAUAAAACAUAACUUAACAUGGACUAGCAAUUUCGGUUGGGGUGACCUCGGAGUACAAAAAACCCUCCGAGUGAUUUUAAUCUAGACAAACCAGUCAAAAUAACCAUAACAUCACUUAUUGAUCCAAAACUUUGAUCAACGGAACAAGUUACCCUAGGGAUAACAGCGCAAUCCUAUUCUAGAGUUCCUAUCGACAAUAGGGUUUACGACCUCGAUGUUGGAUCAGGACACCCAAAUGGUGCAACCGCUAUUAAAGGUUCGUUUGUUCAACGAUUAAAGUCCUACGUGAUC
rnacentral:rRNA from 1 species